rnacentral:rRNA from 1 species
GAUGAACGCUGGCGGCGUGCCUAAUACAUGCAAGUCGAGCGAACAGACGAGGAGCUUGCUCCUCUGACGUUAGCGGCGGACGGGUGAGUAACACGUGGAUAACCUACCUAUAAGACUGGGAUAACUUCGGGAAACCGGAGCUAAUACCGGAUAAUAUAUUUAACCGCAUGGUUCAAUAGUGAAAGACGGUUUUGCUGUCACUUAUAGAUGGAUCCGCGCCGCAUUAGCUAGUUGGUAAGGUAACGGCUUACCAAGGCAACGAUGCGUAGCCGACCUGAGAGGGUGAUCGGCCACACUGGAACUGAGACACGGUCCAGACUCCUACGGGAGGCAGCAGUAGGGAAUCUUCCGCAAUGGGCGAAAGCUUGACGGAGCAACGCCGCGUGAGUGAUGAAGGUCUUCGGAUCGUAAAACUCUGUUAUUAGGGAAGAACAAAUGUGUAAGUAACUAUGCACGUCUUGACGGGACCUAAUCAGAAAGCCACGGCUAACUACGU